CUAGCUUACACCAAACGCUCCAUGGAUGAUAGUACCGUUGCUCCUGCCAUAAUUCAAGAUGGCCAUGAACACAUCGAAAAAGUCUCUGCUGCCACAAGAAAACCCUCCACGGGUGGCUGGAAUGCGGCCAUUUUCAUCAUUUUUGUGGAGGUGGCAGAGAGAUUCGCUUACUUCGGUUUGUCUGGAAACCUCAUAACAUAUCUCACAAACGAUCUCCAUGAGUCCACUGUCACUGCAGCCAAGAACGUCAACACCUGG
rnacentral:misc_RNA from 1 species